rnacentral:rRNA from 1 species
CCUACGGGAGGCUGCAGUCGAGAAUCAUUCACAAUGGGGGAAACCCUGGUGGUGCGACGCCGCGUGGGGGAAUGAAGGUCUUCGGAUUGUAAACCCCUGUCAUGUGGGAGCAAAUUAAAAAGAUAGUACCACAAGAGGAAGAGACGGCUAACUCUGUGCCAGCAGCCGCGGUAAUACAGAGGUCUCAAGCGUUGUUCGGAAUCACUGGGCGUAAAGCGUGCGUAGGCUGUUUCGUAAGUCGUGUGUGAAAGGCGCGGGCUCAACCCGCGGACGGCACAUGAUACUGCGAGACUAGAGUAAUGGAGGGGGAACCGGAAUUCUCGGUGUAGCAGUGAAAUGCGUAGAUAUCGAGAGGAACACUCGUGGCGAAGGCGGGUUCCUGGACAUUAACUGACGCUGAGGCACGAAGGCCAGGGGAGCGAAAGGGAUUAGAUACCCCGGUAGUC